rnacentral:rRNA from 1 species
CAGCCGCCGCGGUAAUACGAAGGGGGCUAGCGUUGUUCGGAAUUACUGGGCGUAAAGCGCACGUAGGCGGAUUGUUAAGUUAGGGGUGAAAUCCCAGGGCUCAACCCUGGAACUGCCUCUAAUACUGGCAAUCUCGAGUCCGAGAGAGGUGAGUGGAGUUCCGAGUGUAGAGGUGAAAUUCGUAGAUAUUCGGAGGAACACCAGUGGCGAAGGCGGCUCACUGGCUCGGUACUGACGCUGAGGUGCGAAAGCGUGGGGAGCAAACAGGAUUAGAUACCCCGGUAGUCCCUGUCUCUUAUAC